UGAAUACGAGAUGCUACGGCGUCGAAGCAGUCUAUGUCAUACUUCCAAGAAAAGCUCGCACUGUCAUAAACAAAUAAUGCCUGUACCAUAACCGACACAGGUGGGUAGGUAGAGUAUACUAAGGGGCGCGAGAUAACUCUCUCUAAGGAACUCGGCAAAAUGACUCCGUAACUUCGGGAGAAGGAGUGCCUUAUUUAUAAGGUUGCAAUAACAAGAUCCAAGCAACUGUUUAUCAAAAACACAGGUCUCCGCUAAGUCGCAAGACGAUGUAUGGGGGCUGACGCCUGCCCAGUGCCAGAAGGUUAAAGAAGUUGGUUAGCAUUCGCGAAGCUGAUAACUGGAGCCCUGGUGAACGGCGGCCGUAACUAUAACGGUCCUAAGGUAGCGAAAUUCCUUGUCGGGUAAGUUCCGACCCGCACGAAAGGCGUAAUGAUUUGGAUACUGUCUCGGAGAGGGGCUCGGUGAAAUAGACUUGUCUGUGAAGAUGCGGACUACCUGCACCAGGACAGAAAGACCCUAUGAAGCUUUACUGUAACUUGAGAUUGAAAUUGGACUUUACUUGCGCAGUAUAGGUGGGAGGCGUUGAUAAUAUUCUUGCGGGAUUAUUUGAGCCAUCAGUGAGAUACCACUCUUGUAAUGUUAGAUUUCUAACCUUGUAUCAUUAUCUGGUCAAAGGACAGUUUCAGGCGGGCAGUUUGACUGGGGCGGUCGCCUCCUAAACGGUAACGGAGGCGCACAAAGGUUUCCUCUGAACGGGUAGAAAUCGUAUCUAGAGUGUAAAGGCAUAAGGAAGCUUGACUGUGAGACCUACAAGUCGAGCAGGGACGAAAGUCGGUCUUAGUGAUCUGACGGUGCUGAGUGGAAAGGCCGUCACUCAACGGAUAAAAGUUACUCUAGGAUAACAGGCUGAUCUCCCCCAAGAGUUCACAUCGACGGGGAGGUUUGGCACCUCGAUGUCGGCUCAUCGCAUCCUGGGGCGGUAGUACGUCCCAAGGGUUGGGCUGUUCGCCCAUGAAAGCGGUACGCGAGCUGGGUUCAGAACGUCGUGAGACAGUUCGGUCCAUAUCCGGUGUAGGCGUUAGAAUAUUGAGAGGAGCCUUCUUUAGUACGAGAGGACCGAGAAGGACAUACCUCUGGUGUACCAGUUAUCGUGCCAACGGUAAACGCUGGGUAGCUAUGUAUGGAGUGGAUAACCGCUGAAAGCAUCUAAGUGGGAAGCCCACCUCAAGAUAAGUA
rnacentral:rRNA from 1 species